rnacentral:rRNA from 1 species
UACGGAGGAUCCGAGCGUUAUCCGGAUUUAUUGGGUUUAAAGGGUGCGCAGGCGGGGGAUUAAGUAGGCGGUGAAAUUUUGCAGCUCAACUGUAAAAGUGCCUUCGAAACUGGUUUCCUUGAGUGUAGAUGAAGUAGGCGGAAUUUGUGGUGUAGCGGUGAAAUGCAUAGAUAUCACGAGGAACUCCGAUUGCGCAGGCAGCUUACUAAACUACUACUGACGCUCAGGCACGAAGGCGUGGGGAUCAAACAGGAUUAGAUACCCCGGUAGUCCCUGA